AAAUUGAAGAGUUUGAUCAUGGCUCAGAUUGAACGCUGGCGGCAGGCCUAACACAUGCAAGUCGAGCGGUAGCACAGAGAGCUUGCUCUCGGGUGACGAGCGGCGGACGGGUGAGUAAUGUCUGGGAAACUGCCUGAUGGAGGGGGAUAACUACUGGAAACGGUAGCUAAUACCGCAUAANNGUCGCAAGACCAAAGUGGGGGACCUUCGGGCCUCAUGCCAUCAGAUGUGCCCAGAUGGGAUUAGCUAGUAGGUGGGGUAACGGCUCACCUAGGCGACGAUCCCUAGCUGGUCUGAGAGGAUGACCAGCCACACUGGAACUGAGACACGGUCCAGACUCCUACGGGAGGCAGCAGUGGGGAAUAUUGCACAAUGGGCGCAAGCCUGAUGCAGCCAUGCCGCGUGUGUGAAGAAGGCCUUCGGGUUGUAAAGCACUUUCAGCGGGGAGGAAGGCGUUAAGGUUAAUAACCUCAUCGAUUG
rnacentral:rRNA from 1 species